AUUGAACGCUGGCGGCAGGCCUAACACAUGCAAGUCGAACGAGUGGCGGACGGGUGAGUAAUGUAUGGGAAACUGCCUGAUGGAGGGGGAAAACUACUGGAACCGGUAGCUAAGACUGCUUACAAUCAGUUGUGACCACAUGGGAUUAGCUAGUGGGGGGGGUAAAGGCUCACCUAGGCGACUAUCCAUAGCUGGUCUGAGAGGAUGACCAGCCACACUGGAACUGAGACACGGUCCAGACUCCUACGGGAGGCAUCAGUUGGGAAUAUUUCACAAUGGGCGCAAGCCUGAUGCAGCCAUGCCGCGUGUAUGAAGAAGGCCUUCGGGUUGUAAAGUACUUUCAUCGGGGAGGCGUUACCCGCAGAAGAAGCACCGGCUAACUCCGUGCCAGCAGCCGCGGUAAUUC
rnacentral:rRNA from 1 species